rnacentral:rRNA from 1 species
GAUGAACGCUGGCGGCGUGCCUAAUACAUGCAAGUCGAGCGAACGGACGAGAAGCUUGCUUCUCUGAUGUUAGCGGCGGACGGGUGAGUAACACGUGGAUAACCUACCUAUAAGACUGGGAUAACUUCGGGAAACCGGAGCUAAUACCGGAUGAUAUUUUGAACCGCAUGGUUCAAAAGUGAAAGACGGUCUUGCUGUCACUUAUAGAUGGAUCCGCGCUGCAUUAGCUAGUUGGUAAGGUAACGGCUUACCAAGGCAACGAUGCAUAGCCGACCUGAGAGGGUGAUCGGCCACACUGGAACUGAGACACGGUCCAGACUCCUACGGGAGGCAGCAGUAGGGAAUCUUCCGCAAUGGGCGAAAGCCUGACGGAGCAACGCCGCGUGAGUGAUGAAGGUCUUCGGAUCGUAAAACUCUGUUAUUAGGGAAGAACAUAUGUGUAAGUAACUGUGCACAUCUUGACGGUACCUAAUCAGAAAGCCACGGCUAACUACGUGCCAGCAGCCGCGGGUAUACGUAGGUGGCAAGCGUUAUCCGGAAAUAUUGGGCGUAAAGCGCGCGUAGCGGUUUUUUAGUCUGAUGUGAAAGCCCACGGCUCAACCGUGGAGGGUCAUUGGAAACUGGAAAACUUGAGUGCAGAAGAGGAAAGUGGAAUUCCAUGUGUAGCGGUGAAAUGCGCAGAGAUAUGGAGGAACACCAGUGGCGAAGGCGACUUUCUGGUCUGUAACUGACGCUGAUGUGCGAAAGCGUGGGGAUCAAACAGGAUUAGAUACCCUGGUAGUCCACGCCGUAAACGAUGAGUGCUAAGUGUUAGGGGGUUUCCGCCCCUUAGUGCUGCAGCUAACGCAUUAAGCACUCCGCCUGGGGAGUACGACCGCAAGGUUGAAACUCAAAGGAAUUGACGGGGACCCGCACAGGCGGUGGAGCAUGUGGUUUAAUUCGAAGCAACGCGAAGAACCUUACCAAAUCUUGACAUCCUUUGACAACUCUAGAGAUAGAGCCUUCCCCUUCGGGGGGGACAAAGUGACAGGUGGUGCAUGGUUGUCGUCAGCUCGUGUCGUGAGAUGUUGGGUUAAGUCCCGCAACGAGCGCAACCCUUAAGCUUAGUUGCCAUCAUUAAGUUGGGCACUCUAAGUUGACUGCCGGUGACAAACCGGAGGAAGGUGGGGAUGACGUCAAAUCAUCAUGCCCCUUAUGAUUUGGGCUACACACGUGCUACAAUGGACAAUACAAAGGGCAGCGAAACCGCGAGGUCAAGCAAAUCCCAUAAAGUUGUUCUCAGUUCGGAUUGUAGUCUGCAACUCGACUACAUGAAGCUGGAAUCGCUAGUAAUCGUAGAUCAGCAUGCUACGGUGAAUACGUUCCCGGGUCU